GAACACACACACAGAGAGCGGAAACCGGAUCGAGCAUUGCAUUGCGUGUGACAGAUAGGCGGGGGACCACCGGCACACGCGCGCCUACACGCAUGCCGCGCUUUAACGGGUCCAGUGGACGAGGGAGCAUCGUCUCGCUGAAGCAAAGGAAAAGGUCUCUGGCGGAGACGGUCAAUGAGCAGCUGGCUCGCUCCGCCUUCGGCGGUGGUGGUGCAGGAGGUGCGUACCGCGACGACGACGAAUAUGCGGACGGCGGUUUCGCGGAGGACUACGAGUUUGACGAUGUCGACUCGAAUGGAUUCAACGGCGACGAUGACGCGGAACGGGGCAGUCGUCGGCAGACCGCAGUAUCUGCGGCCGAGAAGCCGACGAAAGAUGCCGCAAAGAAGCUGCCGUCCUCUGCGUCUUCGUCGCGGCUGCGUCACCGUGGCCCACUCGACGCUAGCCUCAGCGAGGGAAAGUACGCCGCGACGCCAGUGAACGUCGAGGCCGCCAUGGACGACAUCUUCGGCACACUCGACAUGGGAGACUUGGAUGCCGAAGGUGAAGAGUUUUAUGACGGCGACGAUAUGGAUGCCGAGGAGGAGGAGGAGGAGGAGCAGGGAUACGGCGAGGAUGGCGACCGCAAGGAACGCGGCGGACGCGGUGUGGCGUCGAAGAACGACGCUGUCGGUCGCAAGCGCCGCCGUGCGAAGGACCUGACGGAGAAGGAGUACACAGCGUGGCUGGAGAACAAGAGCAGCAAGCAGAAGAAGGCGGGGCAGCUGCGGCGGUCAAUCUCGCUUGGCGGGGGCAAUAGUGGCGUCGGCGAAGCUGUGCUGGACAGCGAGGAGGCUGAUAUCCUCCGCCAGCUCAGCGAGCUCCGACAGACGCAGAUGAGUCUCGUGCCCGCUGGAAACGCGGCGAGCGCCGGUACCUCUAGCGCCGCCGCCGAGACGGCCUCCACGCAAACCGAUGCGAAGCAGACCCGCGACGUGGUGCAGCACCUCAUCAUGGUCUACGGCCAGCUGUUGCGUCUGCGCGUGCUGCUCCAACCGGCGGUCACCAAAGCCAUCAGCAUGCCGCAGUACUACGCCCACUCUCUUUUUGUGGAUGGCGAUGCCGAAGUCGAUGACGCAGCGGCGGCGGCCUCCAACGGCGACGGUGCAGCGGAGGUGCAGGAGAUGCGUGAGGGCGUGUCUAAGCACUACUCGGAGCUACAGGAUGACGUGGAGCAAGUUCUCGCUACCCUGUACGCCGCCGCGACGGGCAGCGGACGCGAUGACCGCAGCAGCAACGUGCACGUGUCCUCCUCGGCAAGUAAGCCGAAGAAGGCGAAGACGGAAGGCGACCUGUCGGUGCCGUCGUAUCGCGAGGUGGAGCGCUAUCAUGAGCGGGUGCUGCAGCACGCUGACACGUGCCUCGACUACUGGGGCAGGAAGCUGGUGCAGGCGAACAGCGCGAAGCUCAAAACGAUCGCGCAGCCACUGCCGCAGCAGAUCGCCGCCAUCCUGUCUGCCAAGUCGCGCUUGCGCUCCAAGCUACAGAAGAACCGCUCGCACAUGGCCAUCAUGGCCCACCCCGAGCACGUGCGGGCAGAAACGUCGGCGGACAUCAAGGCUCAGCGUGCGCUGCACAUCGCCGAGGGUGACGUCGACGACGAGAUCUACGAUGACGCUGACUUUCUGCGGGAGCUGGUACGCCGCGGCGGUGCGGUGGCGAGUCAGCUGGAGAAGAAGGUGAGGGAGAUGCAACGGGCGCUGCUGCCGUCCCGCGAGGGUGCGCGCAAAGGCUUUCACCGGAUGACGAAGGGCAAGGCCGUCAACUACGAGCCACGGCCAAAGCUGGUCGCCUUUAUGGUGCCCGAGCCCCUUGACAACGCGCAGCGCAGCGAUGUCGUGGUGAAGAAUCUAUUUCAGUAAAGCCGGCUUUGACGCGCGCACCCGCAAGCCAGCGUCGCGUGAAACGGCCAGCCGACAGUGCACGCGGCUCCCUCGGGAGGAGAGGUGCCGGUGGCAUUCAAGCGCGUCGACAGGGCACUUUUCCGUUGUGUCGAUUCGCUCUGUGUACGCGCGUGCGUCGCAUCUCUUCAACUUGCCACCCCUCCCUUUGUUGGAUUUCGUGUAAUACCAUAACCGCAUAUGUGUGUGUUUAGGUGUGUGCGUGUGCGUGUGCGUGUGCGUGUUCGCGCGCACGCGCGCGCAUUCUACUAGCGCCGUAACGGAUAGCCUUGAAG
rnacentral:misc_RNA from 1 species